rnacentral:lncRNA from 1 species
GUCACAAAAGAAUGCUCAAGCUAUCCAAAGGAGUGGAUACUUUCUGGGCGAAGGUCGGAGUACCAGGUCCUGACAGCUUUGCGAAGUGUGGCAGAGAAGUCGAUGCAAAGAAGGGCAUCGGUCACCCCUUGGAUCGUCAUGAGAGCCUUGUAGCUCUCCAGGUGGUCAACUGGGUCGGUGGAGCCAUCAUAGGGCUCCACAUGGGGCAUCUUGAAUCGACUAGGAAUCGGCUCGUCAAGAAUGA